GACGAACGCUGGCGGCGUGCUUAACACAUGCAAGUCGAGCGGUAAGGCCCUUUCGGGGGUACACGAGCGGCGAACGGGUGAGUAACACGUGGGUGACCUGCCCUCAGCUCUGGGAUAAGCCUGGGAAAACCGGGUCUAAUACCGGAUAUGACUCCAUGACGCAUGUUGUGGGGUGGAAAGCCUUGUGCGGCUGAGGAUGGGCCCGCGGCCUAUCAGCUUGUUGGUGGGGUGANGGCCUACCAAGGCGACGACGGUAGCCGGCCUGAGAGGCGACCGGCCACACUGGGACUGAGACACGGCCCAGACUCCUACGGGAGGCAGCAGUGGGGAAUCUUGCGCAAUGGGCGAAAGCCUGACGCAGCGACGCCGCGUGAGGGAUGACGGCCUCGGUU
rnacentral:rRNA from 1 species